CCUACGGGAGGCAGCAGUGAGGAAUAUUGGUCAAUGGACGAGAGUCUGAACCAGCCAAGUAGCGUGAAGGAAGAAGGCUUUCGGGUUGUAAACUUCUUUUCUCAGUGACGAAGCAAGUGACGGUACCUGAGGAAUAAGCCACGGCUAACUACGUGCCAGCAGCCGCGGUAAUACGUGGGUGGCAAGCGUUAUCCGGAUUUACUGGGUUUAAAGGGCGUGUAGGCGGGACUGCAAGUCAGAUGUGAAAAACAUGGGAUCAACCUAUGUCCUGCAUUUGAAACUGUCGUUCGUGAGUACGGGAGAGGCAGACGGAAUUCGUAGUGUAGCGGUGAAAUGCGUAGAUAUUAGGAGGAACACCAGUGGCGAAGGCAGUCUGCUGGACAGCAACUGACGCUGAGGCGCGAAAGCGUGGGGAGCAAACAGGAUUAGAUACCCCUGUAGUC
rnacentral:rRNA from 1 species